UACAGAGGGUGCGAGCGUUAAUCGGAAUUACUGGGCGUAAAGCGUGCGUAGACGGUUAUUUAAGUCAGAUGUGAAAGCCCCGGGCUCAACCUGGGAAUUGCAUUUGAGACUGAAUAGCUAGGGUACGGUAGAGGGAAGCGGAAUUUCCGGUGUAGCGGUGAAAUGCGUAGAUAUCGGAAGGAACAUCAGUGGCGAAAGCGGCUUCCUGGACCAGUACCGACGUUCAGGCACGAAA
rnacentral:rRNA from 1 species